UGGCAUCUUAAAGUCUGAAUAGGUUAUCUGUUGUUUAUACUAAGUCGUAAGUGUACAGUUGUGGGAGAUUCCCGGAUCUGGGGAAGUUCCAUUAACUUGGGGUUACCACAGUAUAUUGUGUACUGCAAGAGUCGUAGUAUAGCCUUGAAGCUUGUUUAUGCGUUAUUGUUAUUGUAAUUCGUCUGGGACAAAAUGGUGCAAACAUAUUAUGCACUGAGGUUAUUGCUUAAAGAAACAGUUAUGAAAAACAAUAUGUUCCAUUUCCAACACCUUGUCAGUUUGCAAUAUCUCUUAAAGACAAAGUACACAGUUUAAGAAAUACAAC